GCCACUGUGUAAUCGGGGUGGCGUGCUGCCCUCCGAAGGCAGGGGUUGCUGGUUCGAUCCCAGCCGGGCGCGCCA
rnacentral:tRNA from 1 species